CACGUAGUUAGCCGUCCCUUUCUGGGUAGUUACCGUCACUUGAUGAGCUUUCCACUCUCACCAACGUUCUUCUCUACCAACAGAGCUUUACGAUCCGAAAACCUUCUUCACUCACGCGGCGUUGCUCGGUCAGACUUUCGUCCAUUGCCGAAGAUUCCCUACUGCUGCCUCCCGUAGGAGUUUGGGCCGUGUCUCAGUCCCAAUGUGGCCGAUCACCCUCUCAGGUCGGCUAUGUAUCAUCGCCUUGGUGAGCCUUUACCUCACCAACUAGCUAAUACAACGCGGGAUCAUCUUUGAGUGAUGCAAUUGCAUCUUUCAAACUUAAAACUUGUGUUUAAAGUUUUUAUGCGGUAUUAGCAUUCGUUUCCAAAUGUUGUCCCCCGCUCAAAGGCAGAUUCCCCACGCGUUACCCACCCGUUCGCUGCUCAUCCAGUCGGUACAAGUACCAACCUUCAGCGCUCAACUUGCAUGUAUUAGGCACGCCGCCAGCGUGUCUGAG
rnacentral:rRNA from 1 species